GAGUUUGAUCCUGGCUCAGGACGAACGCUGGCGGCGUGCCUAAUACAUGCAAGUAGAACGCUGAAGUCUGGUGCUUGCACUAGACGGAUGAGUUGCGAACGGGUGAGUAACGCGUAGGUAACCUGCCUCAUAGCGGGGGAUAACUAUUGGAAACGAUAGCUAAUACCGCAUAACAGUAUUUACUGCAUGGUAGAUACUUGAAAGGAGCAAUUGCUUCACUAUGAGAUGGACCUGCGUUGUAUUGGCUAGUUGGUGAGGUAAAGGCUCACCAAGGCGACGAUACAUAGCCGACCUGAGAGGGUGAUCGGCCACACUGGGACUGAGACACGGCCCAGACUCCUACGGGAGGCAGCAGUAGGGAAUCUUCGGCAAUGGGGGGAACCCUGACCGAGCAACGCCGCGUGAGUGAAGAAGGUUUUCGGAUCGUAAAGCUCUGUUGUUAGAGAAGAACGUGUGUGAGAGUGGAAAGUUCACACAGUGACGGUAACUAAUCGGAAAGGGACGGCUAACUACGUGCCAGCAGCCGCGGUAAUACGUAGGUCCCGAGCGUUGUCCGGAUUUAUUGGGCGUAAAGCGAGCGCAGGCGGUUCUGUAAGUCUGAAGUUAAAGGCAGUGGCUUAACCAUUGUACGCUUUGGAAACUGCAGGACUUGAGUGCAGAAGGGGAGAGUGGAAUUCCAUGUGUAGCGGUGAAAUGCGUAGA
rnacentral:rRNA from 1 species